GCUUCCGAGCGCCGCGUUUCAGGGCCUCGUGUUUGAACGCUCGGGGCUUUCGUGAUCAAAACCCACUUUAGCCAAAUGCGAGUGGUCUUUCCCUUCCUUUCGUGUCUUUUUCAGAUGUUCACGCACGAGUAGCGACCGCGAGCCCCAACGGCGUCAUUUGACAAUACGGUAAAAAGAACCAUGAAGCGUCGGCCUCUUUGUUCUUCUGCAGCUCUGAUGCUGGAUGAUUAUUCGUCUGUAUUAUAGAACUAAAAAAAAAAUCGAUUCCUUCUGAAACUGAAGUUGAUUUCUCGGCGUUCUGCUUUGCGUCGCUCUCUCUCGCCUCUUUCUCACCGAUAAAUGUUUCUCAUUUCAAUCAGCAUGAGACCAUAUUGAAAGAGUCUCCUUGUUAUUGUGUCCAUUUUCAUUACCUCUCACCGUCCCAUUUCGCCGCUUUGUUACAUAAUAAAUCACGUCUCCUUUGUCGCCUGCACUUUAUGGCGUUAUUUGGUCCGUCUUUGACCGAUGAAAGAGAAAGGUGACGCUCCCCCCAAAAAAGAAAAGAAAAUGCUCAAUACAUCUUUCACAGUGUUUCAAAAAGCUCGUUGAAGGUUUUCCUUUCAUGGCAUCGGGGUGUGGAGAUCAGAGCCUCGGGAAGAAAAGAAGAAAAGAAGAGAGAAGCUGACAGAGAGAGAACGCUGUUUCUCUUCAGUGGCUUUUAACGGAGAAACACAGCGCGUUCGAAUUGGGCCUCCGUUGCUGUGGCGGCGAAGAGCAGACGUCCUUUGAGCAAACAAUAAAAGUGAUGGACGACGGAGAAGGCAUGCGGGAGAACGCGCACCGUCGCCGCGACAGACACGCAGCUACUCAUCAUGAAACGCCGCCGAAAUAAUGCACCUGCGCGGCGCGUCGCUCUGUUUGGAUCAUUCCAGGUGAAAAAUGAAGCCUCGGUGAGCAACGUGCGGAGGGAGUCUGAGCAAGGAGCGGCGUGCAGACCGGCAGAGAGUCACCGCAGCCGGGAAGCCUUCAGUCCAGAUGUUCACGCACGCAAUAGGGGAAACAACAGCAACGCCACUGGAACACAGCGGCGCCUUCGUAAACGGAGAUGCAUCACUUCCUCUGGUCACAACCGGGAGAAGAUCGAAUAUCGCCCAGAUGGUUGCACGUGAAUGGCAAAGCAGCAGCGGAUGUUUAUGGUGGACAGGGUCCUAAAAUAAAACGGAAGCAGGGACGGCCCUCGGUGGCAUGAAACCAUCGGACGUGGGACUAAAUGGCGCUGCUGGCUGGGAGGCUGAUUGGAACUUGACCCGAACGGACUCGGCGAGCAGUUGGAGGUUUGACUAAAGAGAAACGGCUGCUCGUCCCGACUCCGUCCAACAAACGUUUGUUCAAAAUGCGUCUUUCUGUAAAUCCUUUUAAA
ensembl:lncRNA